AGAACGAACGCUGGCGGCAGGCUUAACACAUGCAAGUCGAGCGCCCCGCAAGGGGAGCGGCAGACGGGUGAGUAACGCGUGGGAACGUACCCCCCGGUUCGGAAUAACUCAGGGAAACUUGAGCUAAUACCGGAUACGGCUGGAAGGCGAAAGAUUCAUCGCCGGGGGAUCGGCCCGCGUCCGAUUAGCUAGUUGGUGUGGUAACGGCGCACCAAGGCGACGAUCGGUAGCUGGUCUGAGAGGAUGAUCAGCCACAUUGGGACUGAGACACGGCCCCAAACUCCUACGGGAGGCAGCAGUGGGGAAUAUUGGACAAUGGGCGCAAGCCUGAUCCAGCCAUGCCGCGUGAGUGAUGAAGGCCUUAGGGGUUGUAAAGCUCUUUCACCCACGACGAUAAUGACGGUAGUGGGAGAAGAAGCCCCGGCUAACUUCGUGCCAGCAGCCGC
rnacentral:rRNA from 1 species